AGAAGUCUCACGGUGGAGGAAAGAGAAAGCCUGAAGCCUGUUGCCAGCAAGAAGAGGGACCUGCCUCUCAGGACACAGCACAGUGCUGCUAACUGCACAGGGAGGGAGCCGGGAGCUGAAGGUGUGCUGUGUCAGUGACAGGUUAGUGAUGGGUGGCCAUACCUGAUCGGUACUGCUUGGUCACACUCAGACUUGCUCUCCACUCACUACCAUGCCAGCAUCCCUGAAGGCAGACAUGGGAGACUCCCUGGGCCUCUUCAUUUGUGGGCACAAUGGAUAGUCUUUCUCUGUUCUUCUCUAUUAUGGCUCUUUGCGUUUAGUGUAUCCAGGACAGGUGGCCAAGCCUCACUUGCUUAGGGCAGCUAGGGCCAGGGCUUUGACCUACGGCAGCAUAGAAAGCCUGAAAAUUAAGGGACCGUGGGAAGGGAAAGGAGGCCCCAUCCUGCAACCUGGUUAAAGCCUCUCACUUGCUGAGAGUCAAGAACUCAGGCACAGUUAACAUUUGCUGUGAGGGCUGCCUACCCAGAGAUAACAAUCCUUUUAUACAGAGUUGUUCCAAAUAAAAAUAUUGAAAUAUUAAUAGCAACAAAUCAUGCUUUUGGCCUAAGCAUAUAUAGCCUUUCUAGUUUUCCAGCUAUAAGCCUGAAAUUUCCUAGCAGUCUCAGAAGAAAGCAAAAAGCCCCAUUAACAGUAAAAGCACAUCUUGCCUCUUUGUGCAACUCCAGAGACUCAUAACCAUAGUUGCUCUCUCCCUCUCCAAGAAUAUCUUUUAAUUUAUUCCAGUUUUUUUUUUUUAAAGAUUGGGUUUACGUCUUUGUUAGGGUUUCUGUGGCUGUGAUGAAACACUAUGAACAGAAGCAAGUCAGAAAGGAAAGGGUUAAUUUUACUCACAGUUCCAUAGAACUGGUCAUCAUUCAAAGCAGAGCUCACGCAGGACAGGAGCAGAUGCAGAGGUCACGGAGGAGUGCUGCUUACUAGCUUGCUCCCCAUGGCUUGCUCAGCAAGCUCUCUUAAUAGAACCCAAGACGACCACAAUUGGCUGGGCCCUCCCCCAUUGACAUUAAACUGGCCAGUUCAGUUUAUUACUUGUAAUCAUGUUUAUAGGCUGGUGGUAUGUGCACAUGAGUCCUGGUGCCCAUGAAGGCCAGAAGGGGUCAAUGAUCCCCUAAAGCUGGAGUCAGAGGAAGGUGUAUGCCAUUCACCUAUAGGUGCUGGGAAGUGAAUUCAGGGUCGCUACAGGAGCAAUAAUAAGCCACUCUUUAUUAAUACUGAUCCAUCCUCCAACCCAGAAUAUCUUUAGUUAAUUCCUUAGCAAUAUCACACAUGUAUACAAUAUAUUUGGUUCACAUCCACCCCACACCUCUUAAUGCAUUCCCCAAACCCCCAGUCCUCCAACCUCUAACCCCCCCAUACUCCCAACCCUUACUUUGUAACCCACUGGGUCCAGUUAUUACUGUCUGCCAGUGGGAAUGUAGACCGCUCACGUUGGCAUCUGAAGUCUGAUUACAAUCCUAUUCAAGGCACCUCCAGGACCAUCCUAUAAUCUCACUUA
rnacentral:lncRNA from 1 species